rnacentral:rRNA from 1 species
UGCCCAGGCGCGAAAACUUUACAAUGCUGGAAACAGCGAUAGGGGGACUUCGAGUGCCAGGAUACAAUCUUGGCUGUCGUAAUGCCUAAAAAGCAUUGCAUAGCAAGGGCCGGGCAAGACCGGUGCCAGCCGCCGCGGUAACACCGGCGGCUCGAGUGGUAACCGCUAUUAUUGGGUCUAAAGGGUCUGUAGCCGGCUGGAUAAGUCUCUUGGGAAAUCCGACAGCUUAACUGUCGGGCUUUCAGGAGAUACUGUCCGGCUCGAGACCGGGAGAGGUGAGAGGUACUUCAUGGGUAGGGGUGAAAUCUUGUAAUCCUUGAAGGACCACCAGUGGCGAAGGCGUCUCACCAGAACGGAUCUGACGGCAAGGGACGAAAGCUAGGGGCACGAACCGGAUUAGAUACCCGGGUAGUCCUAGCCGUAAACGAUACUCGCUAGGUGUCAGCCACGGUGCGACCGUGGUUGGUGGCGUAGGGAAGCCGUGAAGCGAGCCACCUGGGAAGUACGGCCGCAAGGCUGAAACUUAAAGGAAUUGGCGGGGGAGCAC